rnacentral:lncRNA from 1 species
AUCCAUACAAGCAAAGCCCCAUGUAGUUUCUAGCUGAGGCAGUGACUUGAAUUGAAAAAUUAAGAAAGUGAUGACUUGAUCGAGUCUUUUUAAAGUUGGAUGACCUAACUGAUACUUUGCUCAAAGUUUGUAGUGCGCGUAUAUGUAGACACCUAUAUACAUACAUAUACAUGCUAGAGAGAGAGAGAGGAGAGAGGGAGGGGAAAAUCUGCCACUGCCAAUUCCUUUUUGAUCGAUUUUUUCAUGUACAGCACACGCGGAACAGUAUAUUUCCGUGUAGAUCAGAACGUAUAGAUGCAAAUUACGUUACUCGCUUUCUUUUCUUCUUUCUGUGUGUGAAUAAAUGGAAAAAGAGAGN